GGGUUGUGAGGUUAAGCGACUAAGCGUACACGGUGGAUGCCCUGGCAGUCAGAGGCGAUGAAGGACGUGCUAAUCUGCGAUAAGCGCCGGUAAGGUGAUAUGAACCGUUAUAACCGGCGAUUUCCGAAUGGGGAAACCCAGUGUGACUCGUCACACUAUCAUUAACUGAAUCCAUAGGUUAAUGAGGCGAACCGGGGGAACUGAAACAUCUAAGUACCCCGAGGAAAAGAAAUCAACCGAGAUUCCCCCAGUAGCGGCGAGCGAACGGGGAGGAGCCCAGAGCCUGAAUCAGCAUGUGUGUUAGUGGAAGCGUCUGGAAAGGCGCGCGAUACAGGGUGACAGCCCCGUACACAAAAGCGCAUGUGCUGUGAGCUCGAUGAGUAGGGCGGGACACGUGGUAUCCUGUCUGAAUAUGGGGGGACCAUCCUCCAAGGCUAAAUACUCCUGACUGACCGAUAGUGAACCAGUACCGUGAGGGAAAGGCGAAAAGAACCCCGGCGAGGGGAGUGAAAAAGAACCUGAAACCGUGUACGUACAAGCAGUGGGAGCACAGGUUUACCUGUGUGACUGCGUACCUUUUGUAUAAUGGGUCAGCGACUUAUAUUCUGUAGCAAGGUUAACCGUAUAGGGGAGCCGGAGGGAAACCGAGUCUUAAUUGGGCGUUAAGUUGCAGGGUAUAGACCCGAAACCCGGUGAUCUAGCCAUGGGCAGGUUGAAGGUUGGGUAACACUAACUGGAGGACCGAACCGACUAAUGUUGAAAAAUUAGCGGAUGACCUGUGGCUGGGGGUGAAAGGCCAAUCAAACCGGGAGAUAGCUGGUUCUCCCCGAAAGCUAUUUAGGUAGCGCCUCGUGAAUUCAUCUCCGGGGGUAGAGCACUGUUUCGGCUAGGGGGCCAUCCCGGCUUACCAACCCGAUGCAAACUGCGAAUACCGGAGAAUGUUAUCACGGGAGACACACGGCGGGUGCUAACGUCCGUCGUGAAGAGGGAAACAACCCAGACCGCCAGCUAAGGUCCCAAAGUCAUGGUUAAGUGGGAAACGAUGUGGGAAGGCCCAGACAGCCAGGAUGUUGGCUUAGAAGCAGCCAUCAUUUAAAGAAAGCGUAAUAGCUCACUGGUCGAGUCGGCCUGCGCGGAAGAUGUAACGGGGCUAAACCAUGCACCGAAGCUGCGGCAGCGACGCUUAUGCGUUGUUGGGUAGGGGAGCGUUCUGUAAGCCUGUGAAGGUGUGUCGUGAGGCAUGCUGGAGGUAUCAGAAGUGCGAAUGCUGACAUAAGUAACGAUAAAGCGGGUGAAAAGCCCGCUCGCCGGAAGACCAAGGGUUCCUGUCCAACGUUAAUCGGGGCAGGGUGAGUCGACCCCUAAGGCGAGGCCGAAAGGCGUAGUCGAUGGGAAACGGGUUAAUAUUCCCGUACUUGGUGUUACUGCGAAGGGGGGACGGAGAAGGCUAUGUUGGCCGGGCGACGGUUGUCCCGGUUUAAGCGUGUAGGCUGGUUUUCCAGGCAAAUCCGGAAAAUCAAGGCUGAGGCGUGACGACGAGGCACUACGGUGCUGAAGCAACAAAUGCCCUGCUUCCAGGAAAAGCCUCUAAGCAUCAGGUAACAUCAAAUCGUACCCCAAACCGACACAGGUGGUCAGGUAGAGAAUACCAAGGCGCUUGAGAGAACUCGGGUGAAGGAACUAGGCAAAAUGGUGCCGUAACUUCGGGAGAAGGCACGCUGAUAUGUAGGUGAAGUGAUUUACUCAUGGAGCUGAAAUCAGUCGAAGAUACCAGCUGGCUGCAACUGUUUAUUAAAAACACAGCACUGUGCAAACACGAAAGUGGACGUAUACGGUGUGACGCCUGCCCGGUGCCGGAAGGUUAAUUGAUGGGGUCAGCGCAAGCGAAGCUCCUGAUCGAAGCCCCGGUAAACGGCGGCCGUAACUAUAACGGUCCUAAGGUAGCGAAAUUCCUUGUCGGGUAAGUUCCGACCUGCACGAAUGGCGUAAUGAUGGCCAGGCUGUCUCCACCCGAGACUCAGUGAAAUUGAACUCGCUGUGAAGAUGCAGUGUACCCGCGGCAAGACGGAAAGACCCCGUGAACCUUUACUAUAGCUUGACACUGAACAUUGAGCCUUGAUGUGUAGGAUAGGUGGGAGGCUUUGAAGCGUGGACGCCAGUCUGCGUGGAGCCGACCUUGAAAUACCACCCUUUAAUGUUUGAUGUUCUAACGUGGACCCGUUACCCGGGUUGCGGACAGUGUCUGGUGGGUAGUUUGACUGGGGCGGUCUCCUCCUAAAGAGUAACGGAGGAGCACGAAGGUUGGCUAAUCCUGGUCGGACAUCAGGAGGUUAGUGCAAUGGCAUAAGCCAGCUUGACUGCGAGCGUGACGGCGCGAGCAGGUGCGAAAGCAGGUCAUAGUGAUCCGGUGGUUCUGAAUGGAAGGGCCAUCGCUCAACGGAUAAAAGGUACUCCGGGGAUAACAGGCUGAUACCGCCCAAGAGUUCAUAUCGACGGCGGUGUUUGGCACCUCGAUGUCGGCUCAUCACAUCCUGGGGCUGAAGUAGGUCCCAAGGGUAUGGCUGUUCGCCAUUUAAAGUGGUACGCGAGCUGGGUUUAGAACGUCGUGAGACAGUUCGGUCCCUAUCUGCCGUGGGCGCUGGAGAACUGAGGGGGGCUGCUCCUAGUACGAGAGGACCGGAGUGGACGCAUCACUGGUGUUCGGGUUGUCAUGCCAAUGGCACUGCCCGGUAGCUAAAUGCGGAAGAGAUAAGUGCUGAAAGCAUCUAAGCACGAAACUUGCCCCGAGAUGAGUUCUCCCUGAGACUUAGAGUCUCCUGAAGGAACGUUGAAGACGACGACGUUGAUAGGCCGGGUGUGUAAGCGCAGCGAUGCGUUGAGCUAACCGGUACUAAUGAACCGUGAGGCUUAACCUUACAACGCCGAAG
rnacentral:rRNA from 1 species